CUUCCUUUGGCGGGGACUUUAGACGUCAUCAUGACAAACAGGACAUUUGGACAGCAUUUCUUAUGGAAAAAGUGGAUAAGUAUUCAUACACAGCGCAGAUCAUAAUCAGUGAGCAUGUUUUUAAAUAAAGUUGUUUUUUAAAUAAAGUUUGAGGAAGCUUGGUGGUGGUGACGUUGAUCCGCGACCAUGGUGUGCUGUAGUCCGUUUAUAGCCUACUGUUAGCUUUUUAUAUCUGACGACUUUAUUUAGGCUUCAAAAUGUAUAAAUGUUGUGUUAACUUGUAAAGAUUAUCUUGAUAGACAAAACGUGUGUCAUAACCCUUUGUUAAACACAGAGCUUAUUUUUUGCGAUUUUCCAAAAGUCUAUGGGAAAAACGCAUAGGCUUUCGAUCGAGGGAACCCAUGCGCCGCUAACUUCCGGGUUGGCCUACAAAAACACUUCAUCCCCGGGGUACUCUUGUUGAACGACGAUGCUCACGUGAUCCUGUCACUGAUAGUGGAGCCUAAGCAGAAGUGGAGAUAGUUUGUGCAACAGCAACAAGGUGCGGGUCCAAACCCAUCUGUCAAGACGCUUCUUUGUCCACAUGCGGGCUGCCCCACCAGCCCAACGAUUGCGCUGGAGAGCCUCUGACCACAAGUCAUAGGAGCUAAGAGCAAAACUGACAGUGGUGGAGAGAGAAGAAGUGCCCUUGACGAGGAAACCAUGGCAGCCAUAUAGGUAAG